GUAUUUUGAUCAUGGCUCAGGGACGAACGCUGGCGGCGUGCCUAAUACAUGCAAGUUGAGCGCUGAAGGUUGGUACUUGUCCGACUGGAUGAGCAGCGAACGGGUGAGUAACGCGUGGGGAAUCUGCCUUUGAGCGGGGGACAACAUUUGGAAACGAAUGCUAAUACCGCAUAACAACUUUAAACACAAGUUUUAAGUUUGAAAGAUGCAAUUGCAUCACUCAAAGAUGAUCCCGCGUUGUAUUAGCUAGUUGGUGAGGUAAAGGCUCACCAAGGCGAUGAUACAUAGCCGACCUGAGAGGGUGAUCGGCCACAUUGGGACUGAGACACGGCCCAAACUCCUACGGGAGGCAGCAGUAGGGAAUCUUCGGCAAUGGACGAAAGUCUGACCGAGCACGCCGCGUGAGUGAAGAAGGUUUUCGGAUCGUWAAACUCUGUUGGUAGAGAAGAACGUUGGUGAGAGUGGAAAGCUCAUCAAGUGACGGUAACUACCCAGAAAGGGACGGCUAACUACGUGCCAGCAGCCGCGGUAAUACGUAGGUCCCGAGCGUUGUCCGGAUUUAUUGGGCGUAAAGCGAGCGCAGGUGGUUUAUUAAGUCUGGUGUAAAAGGCAGUGGCUCAACCAUUGUAUGCAUUGGAAACUGGUAGACUUGAGUGCAGGAGAGGAGAGUGGAAUUCCAUGUGUAGCGGUGAAAUGCGUAGAUAUAUGGAGGAACACCGGUGGCGAAAGCGGCUCUCUGGCCUGUAACUACACUGAGGCUCGAAAGCGUGGGGAGCAAACAGGAUUAGAUACCCUGGUAGUCCACGCCGUAAACAUAAGCUAGAUGUAGGGAGCUAUAAGUUCUCUGUAUCGCAGCUAACGCAAUAAGCAUUCCCUUUU
rnacentral:rRNA from 1 species